rnacentral:rRNA from 1 species
CCCUUAGAUGUUCUGGGCCGCACGCGCGCUACACUGACGAAUGCAACGAGCUUAUAACCUUGGCCGAAAGGUCUGGGUAAUCUCCAAAUUUCGUCGUGAUGGGGAUAGAUUAUUGCAAUUAUUAAUCUUGAACGAGGAAUUCCUAGUAAAUGCAGAUCAUCAUUCUGCGUUGAUUACGUCCCUGCCCUUUGUACACACCGCCCGUCGCACCUACCGAUUGAAUGAUCCGGUGAAGCCUCGGGAUUGUGCCCAGAGAACUUUAUUGUGAUUUGGGUGUGAGAACUUGUCUAAACCUUAUCAUUUAGAGGAAGGUGAAGUCGUAACA